CCCUUAGAUGUCCUGGGCCGCACGCGCGUUACACUGAUGCAUUCAACGAGCUUAUAACCUUGGCCGAGAGGCCUGGGCAAUCUUGUUAACGUGCAUCGUGAUAGGGAUAGAUUAUUGAAAUUAUUAAUCUUGAACGAGGAAUUCCUAGUAAACGCAGAUCAUCAAUCUGCAUUGAUUACGUCCCUGCCCUUUGUACACACCGCCCGUCGCACCUACCGAUUGAGUGAUCCGGUGAAUAAUUCGGACUGCAGCAGUGUUCGGUCACGAACGUUGCAGCGGAAAGUUUAGUGAACCUUAUCACUUAGAGGAAGGAGAAGUCGUAACA
rnacentral:rRNA from 1 species